GACGAACGCUGGCGGCGUGCUUAACACAUGCAAGUCGAACGGAAAGGCCCUGCUUUUGUGGGGUGCUCGAGUGGCGAACGGGUGAGUAACACGUGAGUAACCUGCCCUUGACUUUGGGAUAACUUCAGGAAACUGGGGCUAAUACCGGAUAGGAGCUCCUGCUGCAUGGUGGGGGUUGGAAAGUUUCGGCGGUUGGGGAUGGACUCGCGGCUUAUCAGCUUGUUGGUGGGGUAGUGGCUUACCAAGGCUUUGACGGGUAGCCGGCCUGAGAGGGUGACCGGCCACAUUGGGACUGAGAUACGGCCCAGACUCCUACGGGAGGCAGCAGUGGGGAAUAUUGCACAAUGGGCGGAAGCCUGAUGCAGCAACGCCGCGUGCGGGAUGACGGCCUUCGGGUUGUAAACCGCUUUCGCCUGUGACGAAGCGUGAGUGACGGUAAUGGGUAAAGAAGCACCGGCUAACUACGUGCCAGCAGCCGCGGUGAUACGUAGGGUGCGAGCGUUGUCCGGAUUUAUUGGGCGUAAAGGGCUCGUAGGUGGUUGAUCGCGUCGGAAGUGUAAUCUUGGGGCUUAACCCUGAGCGUGCUUUCGAUACGGGUUGACUUGAGGAAGGUAGGGGAGAAUGGAAUUCCUGGUGGAGCGGUGGAAUGCGCAGAUAUCAGGAGGAACACCAGUGGCGAAGGCGGUUCUCUGGGCCUUUCCUGACGCUGAGGAGCGAAAGCGUGGGGAGCGAACAGGCUUAGAUACCCUGGUAGUCCACGCUGUAAACGGUGGGUACUAGGUGUGGGGUCCAUUCCACGGGUUCCGUGCCGUAGCUAACGCUUUAAGUACCCCGCCUGGGGAGUACGGCCGCAAGGCUAAAACUCAAAGGAAUUGACGGGGCCCCGCACAAGCGGCGGAGCAUGCGGAUUAAUUCGAUGCAACGCGUAGAACCUUACCUGGGUUUGACAUGGAUCGGGGGUGCUCAGAGAUGGGUGUGCCUCUUUUGGGGUCGGUUCACAGGUGGUGCAUGGCUGUCGUCAGCUCGUGUCGUGAGAUGUUGGGUUAAGUCCCGCAACGAGCGCAACCCUUGUUCACUGUUGCCAGCACGUUAUGGUGGGGACUCAGUGGAGACCGCCGGGGUCAACUCGGAGGAAGGUGGGGAUGACGUCAAGUCAUCAUGCCCCUUAUGUCCAGGGCUUCACGCAUGCUACAAUGGCUGGUACAGAGAGUGGCGAGCCUGUGAGGGUGAGCGAAUCUCGGAAAGUCGGUCUCAGUUCGGAUUGGGGUCUGCAACUCGACCUCAUGAAGUCGGAGUCGCAAGUAAUCGCAGAUCAGCAACGCUGCGGUGAAUACGUUCCCGGGGCU
rnacentral:rRNA from 1 species